UGUAAUGUUUACUCCUUGUAUUUGAAAAUUAGGCUAUAUUUUAAAUCAAAAUGGCACAGCACGACCACAAGGAAGGGUGCAACAUAAAGAUUGUAUUUGUGGCCUUUAUUUUCUUAUUUUCUAUCUCAUUAUGCCAGUUUAUGCAAAGCCAACUCCUACAAAUGUUUUGGCUUCAUCUUCAGCUGGAGCACAAUACUUUGAUCUACCCUGUUCAGAACAACCCAGAUGUUACAACCCUGAAACCAAUCAAUUUUUUUAACACAUUUUUGGGGACAAUUUGAGAGUUUACUGGUGAACGAUGGUAGACCAGGUAAUGUGGACCAGUUGACUGACUAAAGGAUAUCCUGGACCCUACACAAAUGCUAAAGACCCCCAGGGGCUUGUGAAGGCCCUAAUUUAUGUUCUACAGACUUUCAAGAAGCAAACAACAUCACAUGGUGAUGAUGACAUCUUCAAACUGUGGGGAAAAGCUCAGAGUUUCAAUUAAAUCAAUCCCAGAGUCAACAUAUUGACAGACCCCACUUACUCCGAGCCACUUGUGAAAGUUAACUUGAUUUUGGGACUCCUUUUCUAGGGCUUUAUCGUGAUAGGUAGGUACAUAACAUUUGACUGUCUUUUUACUGUAUGGAAAUGUAUUGUUCUGCUUCAUCAGUUGAUAUUGAUGUCAAUAUAAUGUAGAAUGUUCUGCUCUGUAUGUUAACAUGAGCAACAGCUGGGGUAUGUUGCAGCUACAAUGUUAUCAUGUUUGGUCUGUGCAUUGUCUGGCACUGAAGUCUGUAUUUUACACCAGUGUUUAUCUAUGACUUUGUUCGAGUCUCCAAGGAGGCCAGAAGGAGAUCUGAUGCUCUAGCUGAAGAGAAAACAACCACCCCCUGUUGAACCACAGUCAACUUUAUCCAAAUGUACACUAUGAUACCUUACUCUGUGUGGCGUUAACUUGCUUGAAUAUGUGAUCCCUGGCUAAGUUAAGUGUAAGCUAUACUGACUGCAGGGUCUCACGUUCUGUUGUAACAAUGACCCCCUUUAGAUCAGGAGAGCAUCGCUUCAUUGAUUCGUUUGAAAAAUACAUAAUCCACAGCUGAUGAUUUGGAGGCGAAUUUCCCCAAGUUUACAUUAUUUAUUUUGUUGACGUCACACAAUGUGUUGUUUGUGAGAUGCAAUAACAGUAGUAAAAAAAAAAAUCUAGAUGGAGAUAAAGAAGAAGCUGUACAUCUUUGUAUGAGUCUGCUUGUUUAAGUAUGUUUCAAAUUUUUGUUUCGUUGUUCUGUAGUACGAAUCUGAGUCAACUGUACAAUUU